CUCCCAUGACCCCUAGAAGCUCACAGCCUCACACCAACCAGUCAUCUGCCGUGACUUCUUGCAGUCCACAGCAUCACACCAAUCAGUCAUCUGCUGUGACCUCUUGCAGUCCACAGCAUCACACCAUUCAGAUUCCUGCGUGCUCUGCUACUUUUGAGUUGGUGCUUCAGCAAUUGAUGGGCUGACAGUAAGCUCCAAUUCUCCAACCGAGAUAAUGUUCCUUAGGAACAUUUGCCUGUGUGUCAUCCUCCAUGAAAUCUUUGAGCCCACGGCAUCACACCAUCCAGAGUCUGGCUGGAUAAUAGGAGCAUACAGGGUCCCCGUUCCAAGAUGGCAGCAUCCACCAGUGUCUGAGUACCAGGAGCACAGUGUCUGCUGGGAGAACAAGCUACUGUGUUGCUCUGAAAUUCCAGUGUCCAUCUGCGAUUCCCCGGAGGGAGAGAGGAGAUGAUCCUGGCUGCCAAACACUCACAGUACCAACCUCAGACCUCCCACCUACUCCUGCUAUACUGAAGAUGACUCCCAAUUCCAGAGAGACUUGAAGAUCUGAGCCCAGGGGUUCCUGCAAAGAGUGAUGCACCAAUGGACGACCAUGCAUGGAGAGGACCUAGACCCCCUGCUCAGAUGUGGCUGAUUACAGCUCAGUCUCUAUGUAGAUCUCUGAAUGAGAGGACCAGGGACUGCCUCUAUCAUGAACUCAGUUGACUGCUGUUUGAUCACUGGCCCUUGGUGAUGUGGCCUUGCUAGGCCAUGGAGGAAGAGGAUCCAAGCAGUCCUGAUGAGACUUAAGAAGCUAUGGGCCGAUGGCAUGGCAAUAAUGGAGAACUCCCCCUUUCAGUGGACUAGGGGAAGGGGAUGGGGAAGAAAGGGAGGAGGGUAGGAUUGGGGGAAUUGAAGGAGGGGGCUUCAAUUGGGGUAUAUAAUGAAUAAAUUGUGAAGAAAAAAAAGAGAGAAAUGCUCAUCGUCCCUUGGUCAUCAGGGAAAUGCAAAUCAAAAUGACACUGAGAUUCCAUCUUACAUCUGUCAGGAUUGCUAUGAGCAAAAACUCAAGCUACAGUACAUGUUGGUGUGAUUGCGGAGAGAGGAACACUAUUGCUAGUGGGAGUGCAAACUUGUACAACCAUUUAGGGAAUCAAUCUUGAGUUUCUUAGAAAAUUGGAAAUAGUCCUACCUCAAGACCCAUAUUCAAGAUAUUCUGCCACACCACAAGAACACUUGAUCAACUAUGCUCAUAGCAACUUUAUUUGUAAUAGCCAGAAACUGGAAACAACUGAGAUAUCCCUCAAUAAAACAAUGGAUAAAAAACAUAUGGUAUUUUUACACAAUGGAGUACUGCUCAGCUAUUGAAAGCAAGGGCAUCUUGAAAUCUGCAUUAUACUGGACAGAACUAGAAAACAUCAUCCUGAGUGGGGUAACCCAAGUUCCAAAAGACAUUCAUGGUGUAAGUGGAUAUUAGCCAUAAAUUAUAGGAUGACCAUUCUAUAAUCCAUAUACCCAAAGAAGCUAAGUAACAUGAAGGGCCUAAGGGAGGAUGCUUGAAUCUCAGGAGGAGAAAUAAAAGAGGCAGUGGUGGUAGAUGGAUGUAGAGAAUUGGGUAGGACCCAGGAUGGUGAAGGGAUCUGGGGUGGAGAUUAGAAAAGGGAGAGUGGGGGUUGGGAGAGAGGCCUCGGUGAGAAAAUGGAAAUCAGAAGUGCUGGGGUGGGGGCAUCCCUGGGAUUCCCCAGAGACCUGAGAUAAAGAAGGUCCCAGAAAGACUAUGAGAGUCACUUUAGCUGAGACCCAUAUUUGUGUUUGUGUAUGUACAUGCACAUGAGUGUGCAUGUGUGUAAUUCUAUCAGUUAUGUUCCUUUAGCAAACCCUGGCCAAUACAGAUAUUUAAGCUACUCAUUGUCCACCAUUUCUGAUCUAACAUCUUUUUUAACUAGCAGGGUGAUAGAUAUGGCUCUAUACAUGCUAAGAAUAGCAUGUAUUCUUAGCAAACUGCUAGUUUCCACCAAUCCAGAAGCUAAGAAUGUAACCAGAUGGCAAAGAACUAUCUUUGCUUAUCUGUAAUCCACCUACUGGUAGUCCUCACCAACAUUUGUGACUCUUUUUGUUCUGCAACAUGUGAAAUCUCAUGUAACCUCUUCUACAGGAGGCACUGUUUUGAAGGAUGUUGUGUAGCAAAUGUAAACUCUGAAAGUAAACAAAUGUACAUGAUCCCCAAAUAAGCAACUUACAAGAUUCAGAAGACUUUCUUCAAAGUUAUGGAGGAGUAAUUGCUAUGGAGAAGAGACUCAUAAAAAGUCAAGGCUCAGCAGGGCAUGGUGGUGCAUACCUUUGAUCACAGCACUCAGGGAGGCAGAGACAGGAAGAUCACUCUGAGUUCAAGGCCAGCCUUCUCUACAAAGUUCAGAGUUCAGGACAGCAGAGGCUAUAUAGAGAAACCCUAUCUUGAAAAACAAAUCAAAAAGUCAAGUUUCCUGCAAGUCAUGCAUCGAACUUUUGGGAUGCAACUUUUGUGAGUCAUCACUCCUGCUGGGGUGAGCUCUGGUGAUACAGCUGCCUUUGAGGCAUCUAUGCUCCUGUAAGUAAACUCUUAUCCAUAUACCUGUAUAUAACUUUA